AUUGAACGCUGGCGGCAUGCUUAACACAUGCAAGUCGAGCGAAGAGAGGUAGCUUGGUACUGAUCUUAUCGGGGGACAGGUGAGAAAUGCUUAUGAAUCUGCCUAUUACCGGGGGACAACAUUUCCAAAGGAAUGCUAAUACCGCAUAAUUUCUACUCGAGAAAGCAGGGGAUCUUCGGACCUUGCUCUAAUAGAUGAGCCUCACUCGGAUUAUCUAGUUGGUGGGGUAAAGGUCUACCAACGCGACGAUCUGUAGCGGGUCUGAUAGAGAUGAUCCGCCACACUGGGACUGAGACACAGCCCACACUCCUACCGGAGGCAGCAGUGGGGAAUAUUGUACAAUGGGCGCAAGCCUGAUCCAGCCAUGCCGCGUGUGUGAAGAAUGACUUAUGGCUGUAAAGCACUUUCAGCCAGGAGGAGGCUACUUUAGUUAAUACCUCCAGAUAGUGAACCUUACUCUCACAAUAAGCACCGGCUAACUCUGUGCCAACAGGCGCGGUAAUACUCCAGGGUGCAUGCGUUAAUCGGAUUUGCUGGGCGCAUAGCGCGCCUAGGCGGCUAACUCAAUCGAAUGUCCAAAUCCCCGAGGCUUACUUGGGAAUUGCAUUCGAUACCUGGUUAGCUGAAUGGGGGAGAGGAUGGCAGAAUUCCCUGUGUAACGGUGAAAUGCGUAGAGAUCUGGAGGAAUACCGAUGGCGAAGGCAGCCCUCUGGCCUAUCACUGACGCUGAGGUGCGAAAGCAUGGGGAGCAAACAGGAUUAGAUACCCUGGUAGUCCAUGCCGUAAACGAUGUCUACUAGCCGUUGGGGCCUUUGAGGCUUUACUGGCGCAUCUCACACGAUAAGUAGACCGCCUGGGGAGUACGGUCGCAAGACUAUAACUCUCAUGAAUCGACGGGGGCCCCCACAACCGGUGGAGCAUGUGGUUUAUUUCUAUGCGCCGCGAAAAACCUUACCUGGCCUUGACAUAGUAAGAACUUUCCAUGAGAUGGAUGGGUGCCUUUGGGAACUGGCAUACAGGUGCUGCAUGGCUGUCGUCAGCUCGUGUCGUGAGAUGUUGGGUUAAGUCCCGCAACGAGCGCAACCUCUUUUCCUUAUUUGCCAGCGAGUAAUGUCGGGAACUUUAAGGAUACUGCCAGUGUACAAUCUGGAGGAAGGCGGGGAGGACGUCAAGUCAUCAUGGCCCUUACGGCCAGGGCUACCCCCGUGCUCCAAUGGUGGGUACCAAAGGGUGGGUACCUAGCGAUAGGAGGGUAUUCUCAAAAAGCGGAUUGUAGUCGGGAUGGGAGUUGCCAACUGGCCUCCAGGAAGUGGGGAUCGUUGGUAUUCCCGGAUCAGAAUGCCGCGGUGGAUACGUUCCCGGGCCU
rnacentral:rRNA from 1 species